GAUGAAGAACGCAGCGAAAUGCGAUAAGUAAUGUGAAUUGCAGAAUUCAGUGAAUCAUCGAAUCUUUGAACGCACCUUGCGCUCCUUGGUAUUCCGAGGAGCAUGCCUGUUUGAGUGUCAUGAAAUUCUCAAACCCAUAAGUCUUUGCGGGCUUACGGGCUUUGGACUUGGAGGCUUGUCGGCGACCGUGAGGUCACAUCGACUCCUCUCAAAUGCAUUAGCUUGAUUCCUUGCGGAUCGGCUCUCGGUGUGAUAAUUGUCUACGCCGUGACCGUGAAGCGUUUUGGCAAGCUUCUAACCGUCUCUAACGAGACAGCUUACUUUGACCUCUGACCUCAAAUCAGGUAGGACUACCCGCUGAACUUAAGCAUAUCAAUAAGCGGAGGA
rnacentral:misc_RNA from 1 species